GGAUUGAUGAAGUUGUUUGUCACAUGAUGCGCUGAUAAAAAAAAAAAAAUACAGGAGUUAGAUGUACUGACUGUUGCUGUUUAAAAGCAAAAUUUAAUGGGAAAGAAUUAAUUAACGAACUUGCAAUUUUCAUUAAAUCUUCCCACUUAGGUGAUUUUAUGCAUGGCCUAUUAUUGGCAAGACUGAAGAAGAGCAAAUAACAGAUGUUACUAGGUAGUUCCACAUCAGCUGCAGUGCUGUUUCAAGGCUUUAGAAAUCAUUUCAAAUAAAUAGAAUGUGUAGCAGACAUCACAAAGGAGGUCGUGUUCACAGUCCGAUGUCCGCAGAAGAUAGGUAAAUAGUGCUAACAACAAAAAGAAAUGGCACACCACAACUAUUGAGGUUUUUCACAACGAUGAAUGGACUAACUGUCACCGGACAAGAUAGAUGGCGCCACCUCUUGAGCUUGGUAAGUCUCUACAGCUUUAAAAAGCAACUAUACUCUAGUGCCAGUUACGUUUUGGCACAGGCGUCUCAAGACCAGAAGAGGAAAAUGCGUAACCUAAUGCUGAUUGGUUAUUACAGGUCACGUGGUUUUCUUUCCUUUGGACGUCAGCAUUAACACUAGAACUUAACUGUGUAAGUUUACCACUUUUGGCGAAAAUUUAAUAAUUAGAAUCGCCGAAAUAAAAACGCCAUAUCAUAA